AGCUGCCAAAUUAUUGACAUGAAAAACCCAUGGCCUUCUAGCGGUUAAAAAUCUAGAUCUAGAUCUAUAGUCUAUAUAUAGACACUAUAGUACUUAGUAGUCUGAUUAGAAUCAUCAUUAGACCUCUAACUGAGUCUCAGUAACUCUAGAUUAGUCUAGAUCUAGAUCCCGUACGAUAAAGUCAUGCUUCAUAAGGCUUUGCUUACCACAAGCAACAUAGCAAUGCCUAAGCUGCUAUUGUGUAGCAUAUUUUACAAAGAGAACAGAAUUUUGAGAUCAAGGUCUCAACUUGUAUUUCCUCUAAAGAUCAGAUUUUUUAACACCUUUCUGAGGGGCGCUAAUUACAAGUAUUGUUUAUUAAGCAAAGAUGUGAAUUCAUCAUAUAGUUGCAGAUCAUUUUUAACUCUUGCUAAGCAACCUGUAAAGGUUUUAAACUGGGAGAACUUCAGUACACCUCUGCCUGCAAACUUCUUUAAAAAUAAAUACAGAAGGCAACAACAUUAUAGCUCUAAAAAAGUCUCUUUUCAACAUCCAGGUAUACCAGCACAGGAUUUUGAUUCACUCUAUCUCUUACAAUUUAUCAGACUUUUCCGUUUCAUUGGAUUUUCUACAAAAAUAUCAACCUUUGUUACAACACUGGGUUGUCCUUUAACUCUUGGCCUGUAUGUUUCAAAUACCUUAGGGGUACACACAGCAUUGAGCAUAGCUGGAGCACUGAUAUCAAAUUCUUUGAUUUUAUUAGGCCUAAGUGCUAUGUGGACAUCUCGAGUUGUUGGGAAAAUAAUGCUAAGCGAAGACCAAAAGUAUUUUAAAAUUUCACAUCUGUCAAUCUUUGGCAAACGAAAAGAUAUUUAUAUUCAACCACAAGAUUUGAUUGUCAGCAAUAAUAAAUUACUUUCAUUUUUUGCAGUUAAAACACUCCAAUUUAAAAAUGAACCCAAGAAGCUUUUGUUUUUUCCUUUUGCUGGGACAGAAAGUUCUGAUAUAGAAACAUUAGAUUUAAUAUUUAGUAAAAACCAAAUUAAAAAGACUUAAUAUUUGAUUAUUUGUGUUCAAAUGUAUAGUCCUACCAUCUGUGUAUUCUAAUACUAGUUACUAUGGUUUUAGCGACAAAGUUUUGUAAAACUGCUUAAUGUAAAGGUUCUUACUCAGACUUUACAUAAUUCAUCCUUGUUUCCUUCCUUGUUUUAUUGUGUUUUUUAAAUUUCCUAACUGUUGAAAGCCUAUACAUUUUGUAUAUUGAUAUCUAUAUAUUAAAGUGUACAGUACAUAAGGGAAAGCCUGCAACCCAUCUAAAUUGAAUAAUAUACUAGAGACUACAAUGUUAUGAAUACUGGUAUAAUUUGUUUCAACUAAAUUGUAACUAAUGUAUAAGUGUUUUCUUUAUUUUGUACCUUUUAUGUAAAUUUCCUGUGGUUUAAGGGUGUAGCAUAGUACUAGUCAGCAUGAAUGAUGGUUGCAUUUUUCUUUGAUGAUUGAAUUUUGGUUUUAUAUUAAAGAUUUUAUUUUUGUUCA